rnacentral:ncRNA from 2 species
CAGUGGCUGGACAAGAGGUGUGUGGGAUACUGAUUUUAGAGAAAAAAAAAACCAUUAACGUGAGGCUUCGUUUCUCACAUCAUUUUCCCCUCACAGUGCCCGGUGCCUG